GACGAACGCUGGCGGCGUGCUUAACACAUGCAAGUCGAACGGAAAGGCCCUGCUUUUGUGGGGUGCUCGAGUGGCGAACGGGUGAGUAACACGUGAGUAACCUGCCCUUGACUUUGGGAUAACUUCAGGAAACUGGGGCUAAUACCGGAUAGGAGCUCCUGCUGCAUGGUGGGGGUUGGAAAGUUUCGGCGGUUGGGGAUGGACUCGCGGCUUAUCAGCUUGUUGGUGGGGUAGUGGCUUACCAAGGCUUUGACGGGUAGCCGGCCUGAGAGGGUGACCGGCCACAUUGGGACUGAGAUACGGCCCAGACUCCUACGGGAGGCAGCAGUGGGGAAUAUUGCACAAUGGGCGGAAGCCUGAUGCAGCAACGCCGCGUGCGGGAUGACGGCCUUCGGGUUGUAAACCGCUUUCGCCUGUGACGAAGCGUGAGUGACGGUAAUGGGUAAAGAAGCACCGGCUAACUACGUGCCAGCAGCCGCGGUGAUACGUAGGGUGCGAGCGUUGUCCGGAUUUAUUGGGCGUAAAGGGCUCGUAGGUGGUUGAUCGCGUCGGAAGUGUAAUCUUGGGGCUUAACCCUGAGCGUGCUUUCGAUACGGGUUGACUUGAGGAAAGAUAGGGGAGAAUGGAAUUCCUGGUGGAGCGGUGGAAUGCGCAGAUAUCAGGAGGAACACCAGUGGCGAAGGCGGUUCUCUGGGCCUUUCCUGACGCUGAGGAGCGAAAGCGUGGGGAGCGAACAGGCUUAGAUACCCUGGUAGUCCACGCUGUAAACGGUGGGUACUAGGUGUGGGGUCCAUUCCACGGGUUCCGUGCCGUAGCUAACGCUUUAAGUACCCCGCCUGGGGAGUACGGCCGCAAGGCUAAAACUCAAAGGAAUUGACGGGGCCCCGCACAAGCGGCGGAGCAUGCGGAUUAAUUCGAUGCAACGCGUAGAACCUUACCUGGGUUUGACAUGGAUCGGGAGUGCUCAGAGAUGGGUGUGCCUCUUUUGGGGUCGGUUCACAGGUGGUGCAUGCCUGUCGUCAGCUCGUGUCGUGAGAUGUUGGGUUAAGUCCCGCAACGAGCGCAACCCUUGUUCACUGUUGCCAGCACGUUAUGGUGGGGACUCAGUGGAGACCGCCGGGGUCAACUCGGAGGAAGGUGGGGAUGACGUCAAGUCAUCAUGCCCCUUAUGUCCAGGGCUUCACGCAUGCUACAAUGGCUGGUACAGAGAGUGGCGAGCCUGUGAGGGUGAGCGAAUCUCGGAAAGCCGGUCUCAGUUCGGAUUGGGGUCUGCAACUCGACCUCAUGAAGUCGGAGUCGCUAGUAAUCGCAGAUCAGCAACGCUGCGGUGAAUACGUUCCCGGG
rnacentral:rRNA from 1 species